rnacentral:rRNA from 1 species
UUUUUACUUUAGUGGCGGACGGGUGAGUAACGCGUGGGUAACCUGCCUUAUACAGGGGGAUAACACUUAGAAAUAGGUGCUAAGACCGCAUAAGCGCCCAGGGCCGCAUGGCCCAGGGUGAAAAACUCCGGUGGUAUAAGAUGGGCCCGCGUCUGAUUAGCCAGUUGGCAGGGUAACGGCCUACCAAAGCGACGAUCAGUAGCCGGCCUGAGAGGGUGGACGGCCACAUUGGGACUGAGACACGGCCCAAACUCCUACGGAAGGCAGCAG